rnacentral:tRNA from 1 species
AAAUUUAGGUUAACUAAACCAAGGACCUUCAAAGCCCUAAACAGAUAUUAUUACCAUCUAAUUUCUG